AGUGAACGCUGGCGGUAGGCCUAACACAUGCAAGUCGAACGGCAGCACAGUAAGAGCUUGCUCUUACGGGUGGCGAGUGGCGGACGGGUGAGGAAUACAUCGGAAUCUACUUUUUCGUGGGGGAUAACGUAGGGAAACUUACGCUAAUACCGCAUACGACCUACGGGUGAAAGCAGGGGAUCUUCGGACCUUGCGCGAUUGAAUGAGCCGAUGUCGGAUUAGCUAGUUGGCGGGGUAAAGGCCCACCAAGGCGACGAUCCGUAGCUGGUCUGAGAGGAUGAUCAGCCACACUGGAACUGAGAAACGGUCCAGACUCCUACGGGAGGCAGCAGUGGGGAAUAUUGGACAAUGGGCGAAAGCCUGAUCCAGCCAUACCGCGUGAGUGAAGAAGGCCUUAGGGUUGUAAAGCCCUUUUGUUGGGAAAGAAAAGCAGCAGGUUAAUACCCCGCUGUUCUGACGGUACCCAAAGAAUAAGCACCGGCUAACUUCGUG
rnacentral:rRNA from 1 species